rnacentral:rRNA from 1 species
GAAACCCUGACGCAUCGACGCCGCGUGGGUGAAGAAGGCCUUCGGGUUGUAAAGCCCUGUCAGGUGGGAAGAAGUGUAUCGUGGCUAAUAUCCAUGGUAUUUGACGGUACCACCAAAGGAAGCACCGGCUAACUCCGUGCCAGCAGCCGCGGUAAUA